rnacentral:tRNA from 1 species
CGUUCUAUGGCCGAAUUGGUAAACGCAUCGCCGAUCACAGGCGAGGGUGUGGGUUCGAGUCCCGCUGAAACGA